rnacentral:lncRNA from 1 species
AGCUGCAUGCAGGAGGUGGUGGAAGAGCUGGUGGAUGGCUUCGGGUACUCCAUCUCCCUGGACAGGGGCCAGCUGCACCGCGCCACCAUCAAUAAUCAGGGCUGCUCUGAGAGUGAAGAUGAGUCCACUGUGUCUGUAACUGAGGCCUGCAGGAUGCGUGCCCUCCAGGCAGGCAUGAUGCAGAGGCUCUCAGAGUCUGUGCUGCCAGGCUUCCCCAGCAGAGUCCUCUGCAGUGUCAUCACCUCCCUCUGCAGCUGCUCAGGCUCCAGCACAGCCCACCAGGUGCUGGACCAGCUGUUUCCCAGAGCCAGCUCCAAAGCUCCUGCCACUUCCAGAGCCAGAGCCAGUGCCAGCCCCCGGGCUGGAGCCAGCUGCACCUCCAGUCUCACCACGUGUGGUAUAGCUGGAGCCAGCAGCCCCUGAGUCGGCCACUCCAGGACCAGGGCAAGGGCCACCAUUAGAGGCAGCCCCAG